GAUGAAGAACGCAGCGAAAUGCGAUAAGUAAUGCGAAUUGCAGAAUUUCCGUGAGUCAUCGAAUCUUUGAACGCACAUUGCGCCCGCCAGUAUUCUGGCGGGCAUGCCUGUUCGAGCGUCAUUUCAACCAUCAAGCCCCUGGCUUGUGUUGGGGACCUGCGGCUGCCGCAGGCCCUGAAAACCAGUGGCGGGCUCGCUGUCACACCGGGCGUAGUAGAUUAUAUCUCGCUCAGGGCGUGCUGCGGGUUCCGGCCGUUAAAAAGCCUUAUUUACCCAAGGUUGACCUCGGAUCAGGUAGGAAUACCCGCUGAACUUAAGCAUAUCAAUAAGCGGAGGA
rnacentral:misc_RNA from 1 species